CUCAGACCAUGGAGAAUGCAUGAUCAAGUUUCCUGGGAUAGAGUUAAGAACUCUUUCUCAUCCAUUACUAACUCAGUCUAGGUUCAGAUGCUACUUGUUUUCUGCUCAGUCUGUGUCUGAGCCCCUUAUGCUCUUCAUUUUGUCAUCCAAUUAACCUCAGCUUUGCAUCAAUACUAUUUCUUGCUUUGGUGCCUAUUACCUCUCCUCUAAUCACCAAUCCACAACUCACCUCCAAAUUCAGGGCCUGUCUCAUUCUUCCCAGGGGAGUGCUGCUCAGUCUAUCUACUUAGUAUUAUAAUUUCUCUGGCUUGGUAUCAAGGCAUUCCCAUUUCCAGCUUCCAUGAGAUGUCUCAGAGGGCAUGCUGCCCGGUGUAG
rnacentral:lncRNA from 1 species